AUGGAGAAUCUAACACCAUUUUACAUGGCUUGGCUCGGUGGCAGUGCUUCGAGAUGGCUCCUCCCACCGGGGUACUGUGACAUACUGCACUCCGAGAUGAGUUAUAUGAUUUGUUGCAAUCGGUGACAUGACAGUGCAGAGACCAUCUGCAGGGUACUCAAUCUAAGCGUCAAUGUCAGAAUGAUUACCGGCAAACAUGUAAUGAUUUUUCAUCCAA